rnacentral:lncRNA from 1 species
UUUUUUUUUUAUCUAACAUAUUUUAAUCAUUUCCUUUCCCCAGUAGUGUAAAAAUUAAAAAGAUUAUCCCGAAGAUUGUCUAAUUGCUUGGUCAAAAUCUACUUAGAUUUUAUCCAUUUGGCUUAUAAAAACACGUCCCAUGAAUUGAUUUGUAUUAACUCGUUGUUCAAUUCCUCCCUCUUGACUCGACCAGUCUUAACCAUUUUGCAUUGUGAUUUUACAACUGCAUCCUUUCCCAACCACCAAGCUCUGUCACUGGAUACCUGGCUUUUCCUGUCAAUCCCUUCAAUGUCUUAAUGUUUAAGCUUUUUAUAUGCUCAGAAAGGAGGUUUUUUUUUUUUCAAAUGCUGAGAAUAACAAUACCAAAUUAAAACCAUUGCUGCCUUGUGCAAGUUUAAGAGAGAUAAGAUCUUAUCUUGGAAAUAGGAAAAUAAAUUUUACUUCUCGUAAAAAAUAAGAGCAAGUGCAAAUCCGUCAGUUUGUUGAAUCAAUUCAAUUCAGCUUCUUUAUGAUCCUUUCCCAAGCACCAAGCUCAGUUACUGGAUACCUGGCUUUUCACUGCCUUUUGACGUCAACCCUUCAAUGUCUUAAUGUUUAAGUUUUUUAUAUGCUCAGAAAGGAGGUGGUUUUUUUUUUUUCAAAUGCUGAGAAUAACAAUACCAAAUUAAAACCAUUGCUGCCCUGUGCAAGUUUAAGAGAGAUAAGAUCUUAUCUUGGAAACAGGAAAAUAAAUUUUACUUCUUGUCAAAAAUAAGAGCAGGUGCAAAUCCGUCAAUUUGUACUGAAUCAAUCCAACUCAGUUUCCCUCUCAUAAGCUUGCGCCCAUAUCAUAUUAGUUAUCAAUUCAACACAAAUUCAAUAAAAAACUAAGCAUUAUAAAAUAAUGAAAAGUCUUUUUAAUUUUUCAAUGUAAAAUAAUUUUUUUUGAAAUACUCGUAUAUUUACAACACUAAUAAGUUGCAAAGAGACUCCAAACAUAAGAAAAGUGAAAGGAUUGACUUCCUCUCGCGUAAUUUAGGACGAUAUAAAUGUAGGCUUACCCUAGAAAAGAUAACAACUUCGAUGACUUGCUAGUUGCUAGUUGCUAAAGCAUGGUUUCUGAUCCCACGACAGAAAUCUCCAGCGUGAAUUGUCAGCCAUAUUUUCUUUCUGCGAAUGGAAGAAAAGAAUGAUGGACUUGUAGGUCUCCCCUAGACUCAGCUACCAGUCACAACCCCCAGACUUC